rnacentral:rRNA from 1 species
AUUGAACGCUGGCGGCAGGCCUAACACAUGCAAGUCGAACGAGUGGCGGACGGGUGAGUAAUGUCUGGGAAACUGCCCGAUGGAGGGGGAUCACUACUGGAAACGGUAGCUAAUACCGCAUACCAUCGGAUUUGCCAAGAUGGGAUUAGCUGGUAGGUGGGGUAACGGCUCACCUAGGCGACGCUCCCUAGCUGGUAUGAGAGGAUGACCAGACACACUGGAACUGAGACACGGUCCAGACUCCUACGGGAGGCAGCAUUGUGGAAUAUUGCACAAUGGGCGCAAGCCGGAUACAGCCAUGCCGCUUGUAUGAAGAAGGCCUUCGGGUUGUAAAGUACUUUCAGCGAGGAGGCGUUACUCGCAGAAGAAGCACCGGCUAACUCCGUGCCAGCAGCCGCGGUAAUAC